rnacentral:rRNA from 1 species
CUCAGUAACGGCGAGUGAAGCGGUAACAGCUCAAAUUUGAAAGCUGGCUCUUUUAGGGUUCGCAUUGUAAUUUGUAGAAGAUGCUUCGGGUGUGGCCCCGGUCUAAGUUCCUUGGAACAGGACGUCAUAGAGGGUGAGAAUCCCGUAUGUGACUGGGUGCUUUCGCUCAUGUGAAGCUCUUUCGACGAGUCGAGUUGUUUGGGAAUGCAGCUCAAAAUGGGUGGUAAAUUUCAUCUAAAGCUAAAUAUUGGCCAGAGACCGAUAGCGCACAAGUAGAGUGAUCGAAAGAUGAAAAGCACUUUGGAAAGAGAGUUAAACAGUACGUGAAAUUGUUGAAAGGGAAGCGCUUGCAACCAGACUUGCGCGCUGAUGAUCAUCCGGGCUUCUGCCCGGUGCACUCGUCUGCGCUCAGGCCAGCAUCGGUUUCGGUGGUGGGAUAAAGGCCUUGGGAAUGUAGCUCCUCUCGGGGAGUGUUAUAGCCCUCGGUGCAAUGCCGCCUACCGGGACCGAGGACCGCGCUUCGGCUAGGAUGCUGGCGUAAUGGUUGUAAGCGACCCGUCUUGAAACACGGACCAAGGAGUCUAACAUCUAUGCGAGUGUUUGGGUGUCAAACCCAUACGCGUAAUGAAAGUGAACGGAGGUGAGAACCCUUAAGGGUGCAUCAUCGACCGAUCCUGAUGUCUUCGGAUGGAUUUGAGUAAGAGCAUAGCUGUUGGGACCCGAAAGAUGGUGAACUAUGCGUGAAUAGGGUGAAGCCAGAGGAAACUCUGGUGGAGGCUCGCAGCGGUUCUGACGUGCAAAUCGAUCGUCAAAUUUGCGUAUAGGGGCGAAAGACUAAUCGAACCAUCU